rnacentral:rRNA from 1 species
CACGAGUUUGAUCCUGGCUCAGAUUGAACGCUGGCGGCAUGCCUUACACAUGCAAGUCGAACGGUAGAGUAGCAAUACUUGAGAGUGGCGAACGGGUGAGUAAUAUAUCGGAACGUGCCCAGUCGUGGGGGAUAACGUAGAGAAAUUUACGCUAAUACCGCAUACGAUCUAAGGAUGAAAGCGGGGGAUUCGCAAGAACCUCGCGCGAUUGGAGCGGCUGAUAUCAGAUUAGGUUGUUGGUGAGGUAAAAGCUCACCAAGCCGACGAUCUGUAGCUGGUUUGAGAGAACGACCAGCCACACUGGGACUGAGACACGGCCCAGACUCCUACGGGAGGCAGCAGUGGGGAAUUUUGGACAAUGGGCGAAAGCCUGAUCCAGCAAUGCCGCGUGCAGGAAGAAGGCCUUCGGGUUGUAAACUGCUUUUGUACGGAACGAAAAGGCUCUUUCUAAUAAAGAGGGCCCAUGACGGUACCGUAAGAAUAAGCACCGGCUAACUACGUG